rnacentral:rRNA from 1 species
GACGAACCGAGCGAACGUUGUUCGGAAUCACUGGGCUUAAAGGGCGCGUAGGCGGGCUGUCAAGUCUGGGGUGAAAUGCCGCGGCUCAACCGUGGAACUGCCUCAGAUACUGACGGCCUCGAGGGAGGUAGGGGCGUGCGGAACUGUAGGUGGAGCGGUGAAAUGCGUUGAUAUCUACAGGAACUCCGGUGGCGAAAGCGGCGCGCUGGACCUCUUCUGACGCUGAGGCGCGAAAGCUAGGGGAGCAAACGGG